AGCGUGGAGUGGGGAAGUGGUCAUGAAGCCCCACCCUCAGCAGAGGAGCUAUCAGAAGCUGCUGGCUGCUGGGAGAGGGACAGCGAGCUUUCUUCAAUGAGGCUGCUCCUGAGAGGCCACUCAUGUUCUAUCCAUGGAGAACAAGAGAAGAACCUGGAGUCCCUAUAUGAGGCUUUCCUAAGAUCACCAUGGCGACCUGGAAGGAACUCGAAGAGAUGACAGAGAAGCUAGAACUCCAGAUGGAUGAGCCAGACAUUAAAGAACAAGUGAGAGGUUCUGUCAAUUGAACUGUAGGUUUCCAGCCUGGAUGCUCAUAAAGAGGGUGGAGGUGUAGAACAAGGGAGUGAGGUGCAAGAAGAGCUGGGUAUAAAUGAGCUACCAGACUGUAAUGAGAGACCAGAUCAACUCCAUCUUAGAGAAUUUUCCUACUGUUAAACUAGAGUUAACUAACAAGCCUGUGUCUAGUACCAGUUUCCAGGUCAUUCCCGAAGGAAUCUAUACCUCCAGCUUCGAAACCUGCCCCUGACACUUCACUUCCUAACAACCACCAAGAGGAAAGCAAAAGUUAAGUUUAUGGUUUGGCUCCCAGCACUAGCCAAUUAUGUCAAAGAUCAUAAUGCCCUCCACCCCAAUCAAAUGUGUCCCAGGUUAGAUACCCCCUUCUUGCUUCUAUAAAUGCUUGCCUAAAACUAGGCUCAGGAGCCCGCCUUCCCAUACUGCUGUGUCAAGGCUGGCAGGGUCCCAAGCUCAAGCUUGUAAUAAAGAGUCACUAAUGCGAUUGCAUUGGAAU